rnacentral:lncRNA from 1 species
GCGUGAAGUACGGGGAACUGCUCGUCCCUCCUUCCCUUUUUUUAGUCACGGGGCAGGAAUGCAGGCCGAACGCCGCACAGCUCGGGGACCGCCCCCACCCCUCCCGGUGGUUCCCCACAGACAAGCCAAACUGCCGCGCGGAGGCCGGAAGAGAAGGGCUGCAAAACCAGCUCCGGGGCCGAAGGACCAAACAAACCACGCCGCCACCCCGAAGCCGAAGGGCCCUCGGCUCCCGCCCAGCUCCGGCCCCGGCCCCGCUCCCGCCCGGCUCCCGCCCGGCUCCCGCCAGGCUCCCGCCCGGCCCCGGCCCCGGCCCCGCUCCGGCCCCAUUUCCCUUCGGCCAGCCUCAGGCCCCGGAAGUCAACAAGUCCAGCCAGGGAACGCGGAGGACGCGCACGGAGCCAGCCGAGAGCCAGGCAGGCCGAGGCUCCGAGCGGCGGAGGGAGGAGUUUGUCCCAUUCGGCCGCGUCGGGCCUAUGACUGGCACUUCCUAAAUUCUGGGUCUCCGGUCCAGCAGAGCUGCGCAGCAUUGGCCCUAUGGAGUGGUUGGCUCUGGUGCUCAUUGUCUGCCAUCCCUCUGUCGCCCUGCCCCAGUCACAGACUGUCACUUCAGAAGGUCUGA